rnacentral:rRNA from 1 species
GUGGCAGCCGCCGCGGUAAUACGAAGGGACCUAGCGUAGUUCGGAAUUACUGGGCUUAAAGAGUUCGUAGGUGGUUAAAAAAGUUGGUGGUGAAAUCCCAGAGCUUAACUCUGGAACUGCCAUCAAAACUUUUUAGCUAGAGUUUGAUAGAGGAAAGCAGAAUUUCUAGUGUAGAGGUGAAAUUCGUAGAUAUUAGAAAGAAUACCAAUUGCGAAGGCAGCUUUCUGGAUCAUUACUGACACUGAGGAACGAAAGCAUGGGUAGCGAAGAGGAUUAGAUACCCUCGUAGUCCAUGCCGUAAACGAUGUGUGUUAGACGUUGGAAAUUUAUUUUCAGUGUCGCAGCGAAAGCAAUAAACACACCGCCUGGGGAGUACGACCGCAAGGUUAAAACUCAAAUGAAUUGACGGGGACCCGCACAAGUAGUGGAGCAUGUGGUUUAAUUCGAAGAUACGCGCAGAACCUUACCAACACUUGACAUGUUCGUCGCGACUCUAAGAGAUUAGAGUUUUCGGUUCGGCCGGACGAAACACAGGUGCUGCAUGGCUGUCGUCAGCUCGUGUCGUGAGAUGUUGGGUUAAGUCCCGCAACGAGCGCAACCCUCACUUUUAGUUGCCAUCAUUUAGUUGGGCACUCUGAAAGAACUGCCAGUGAUAAGCUGGAGGAAGGUGGGGAUGACGUCAAGUCCUCAUGGCCCUUACGUGUUGGGCUACACACGUGCUACAAUGGCAUUUACAAUAGGAAGCAAGAUGGCGACAUUGAGCAAAUCCUAAAAAAAUGCCUCAGUUCGGAUUGUACUCUGCAACUCGAGUACAUGAAGCUGGAAUUACUAGUAAUCGCGGAUCAGCGCGCCGCGGUGAAUACGUUCCCGGGUCUUGCACACACCGCCCGUC